rnacentral:rRNA from 1 species
GCUUAGCCCUAAACAUAGACAAUAAAGACACAAUAUUGUCCGCCAGAGAAUUACAAGUGAAAAACUAGAAACUCCAAGGACUUGGCGGUGCUCCAUAUCACCCUAGAGGAGCCUGUCCUAUAAUCGAUAACCCACGCUAUACCUCACCACUUCUUGCAACUCAGCCUAUAUACCGCCGUCGUCAGCCUACCUUGUGAAAGAAAUAAAGUAGGCAAAAUAGCCAACAGCUAAAACGUCAGGUCAAGGUGUAGCAAAUGAAAUGGAAGAGAUGGGCUACACUCUCUAUUACAGAGAAUACGAACGGCCUAAUGAAACUAAGACCUUAAGGUGGAUUUAGCAGUAAUAUAAAAGAGAUAGUUUAUCUGAAACUUGCUCUGGAGCGCGC